rnacentral:rRNA from 1 species
UACGUAGGGGCCUAGCGUUGUCCGGAUUUAUUGGGCGUAAAGAGCUCGUAGGCGGUUUGGUUCGUCAGGUGUGAAAUCUCCACGCUCAACGUGGAGGGGCCACCUGAUACUGCCAUGACUUGAGUCCGGUAGGGGAGUGUGGAAUUCCCGGUGUAGCGGUGAAAUGCGCAGAUAUCGGGAGGAACACCCGUAGCGAAGGCGGCACUCUGGGCCGUGACUGACGCUGAGGAGCGAAAGCGUGGGGAGCAAACAGG